rnacentral:rRNA from 1 species
GGGUUGUGAGGUUAAGCGACUAAGCGUACACGGUGGAUGCCCUGGCAGUCAGAGGCGAUGAAGGGCGUACUAAUCUGCGAUAAGCGCCGGUAAGGUGAUAUGAACCGUUAUAACCGGCGAUACCCGAAUGGGGAAACCCAGUGUGAUUCGUCACACUAUCAUUAACUGAAUCCAUAGGUUAAUGAGGCGAACCGGGGGAACUGAAACAUCUAAGUACCCCGAGGAAAAGAAAUCAACCGAGAUUCCCCCAGUAGCGGCGAGCGAACGGGGAGGAGCCCAGAGCCUGAAUCAGCAUGUGUGUUAGUGGAAGCGUCUGGAAAGGCGCGCGAUACAGGGUGACAGCCCCGUACACAAAAGCGCAUGUGCUGUGAGCUCGAUGAGUAGGGCGGGACACGUGGUAUCCUGUCUGAAUAUGGGGGGACCAUCCUCCAAGGCUAAAUACUCCUGACUGACCGAUAGUGAACCAGUACCGUGAGGGAAAGGCGAAAAGAACCCCGGCGAGGGGAGUGAAAAAGAACCUGAAACCGUGUACGUACAAGCAGUGGGAGCACAGGUUUACCUGUGUGACUGCGUACC